rnacentral:rRNA from 1 species
AUCAGCUUUCGACGGUAUGGUAUUGGCUUACCGUGGCAGUGACGGUUAACGGGGGAUUAGGGUUCGAUUCCGGAGAGGGAGCCUGAGAAACGGCUACCACAUCUAAGGAAGGCAGCAGGCGCGCAAAUUACCCAAUUCUAACAGUUUGAGAGAGGUAGUAACAAGAAAUAACAAUACAAGGCAGUUAAAAUGCUUUGUAAUUGGAAUGAUAGAAAUUUAAACCCUUUUUAAAGUAUCAAUUGGAGGGCAAGUCUGGUGCCAGCAGCCGCGGUAAUUCCAGCUCCAAUAGCGUAUAUUAAAAUUGUUGCAGUUAAAAAGCUCGUAGUUGAAGUUCUGCUGAAAGUAACCGGUCUGCUUUUAAUAAAAGUGGUAUCUUGGUAUGUAUUUAGCAAUGAUGUCCUUUGAAGUGUUUUUUACUUUAUUGUAAUAAAGCAUAUUCAGGACUUUUACUUUGAGAAAAUUAGAGUGUUUCUAGCAGGCUGACGCUUUGAAUACUGCAGCAUGGAAUAAUAAGAUAGGAUUUUAGUUCUACAUUAUUGGUUUUAAGAGCUAAAUUAAUGAUUGAUAGGGACAGUUGGGGGCAUUUGUAUUUAACUGUCAGAGGUGAAAUCUUUAGAUUUGACGCGACCGCUCACGACCAAGUACCCUUGGCCCACUGGCCU